rnacentral:rRNA from 1 species
GAUGAACGCUAGCUACAGGCUUAACACAUGCAAGUCGAGGGGUAACGAGAGGAAAGCUUGCUUUCCUUGUCGACGACCGGCGCACGGGUGAGUAACGCGUAUCCAACCUGCCCCCAACUAGGGAAUAACCUUGCGAAAGUAAGACUAAUACCCUAUAAUUUCCUCAGAUGUCAUCUGACGAGGAAUAAAGAUUUAUCGGUUGUGGAUGGGGAUGCGUCUGAUUAGCUUGUUGGCGGGGUAACGGCACACCAAGGCAACGAUCAGUAGGGGCUCUGAGAGGAAGGUCCCCCACAUUGGAACUGCGACACGGUCCAAACUCCUACGGGAGGCAGCAGUGAGGAAUAUUGGUCAAUGGGCGGAAGCCUGAACCAGCCAAGUAGCGUGCAGGAUGACGGCCCUAUGGGUUGUAAACUGCUUUUAUACAGGAAUAAAGUUAGCCACGUGUGGUUAUUUGUAGGUACUGUAUGAAUAAGGACCGGCUAAUUCCGUGCCAGCAGCCGCCGUAA